AGACAUUCAGUUGCCAUGGAGGGAAAGCUUUUUAAAGACCACAGAUUUUGUUGUUUCAGAGAAGUGGAAAAGGAAGAAGAAUGAUUCUGAAAUCAUCUGAAGGGUUACUUUCUCCCCAGAGAGCAACUCCACGGCACAAAGUAGGGAUCUGGGAUGCUACUGGAUAUAGAGUGGCUCUCUGAGAGACCAUCACCUCUAUUACCGGGCAGGGGUGAAUUUGGAGAUUUGUAGGGCCAUGACUUUCAGUAGAUUUAGGGGAAAAUGAAAA